GCAGAAAGAGAAUGAAGAUUGCUGUGUGGUUUUUCACUUUUGUCCUGAACCUCAGUUGUAUAGACGUGGAGAAAGCAGAGCUGGAAUUUGUCCUCUAAUUUCAAACAGCCAGUGGUGUCAGUCUUUACUUGUUUCUCAUAGCUAGUCUGGAGGCCUCAGGGACCACAAAAGCAGUAGCCCUCCUACGAGUAGUUUCCAGUGAAGAGCAUGCUGGAAACUAUUGCAGAAGCUUUGAUAGCUGCUGCUAGAUAUUUCUUCUUGACUUCCUUUGCAAUGUUAUGCCUGUUUUUUCUUGAGCAAACCCAAGCAAGCACGCCUCAUGAUGUUCUUCACAGUGGCAAUUACACAAAGGUGUUGGGUUUAUAGUUAAAAUUCUAAAGGUUCCAUGUUUAAACUCCCCUGUUAAAGUUCUCUGAAGCAGUUUAUACUCUCACGUAGAUAUAUUGCUCCACAUUCAACGUUAUUACUGAUAGAAAAUCCCAGAGGCUGAAACUAACCACUUUUUUGUUUUUAGUAAAUAUACAUUUUAACUAAGAUGUUUCAUCUGACACUUGAAGGAAAUCAGCCAUCAUUCUACAAUAACUUAUUAACCCAGAAAUGAGUCUAUCUAGAGUAAUUUUAGAAACAAAAAUCGUUUUUUUCAAUUAGUUAUACUCCACCAAUAAUUUCUCUUCCAGCAAAGCUGCUGCUGCUCACAAACUAGUGAGCUUUUUGCAAUGUAACCUUUUGUUAACAUUUUAAUUAAGCAGUAGUAACAGAUGUGGAGAACAUUUUUUGGCAGUUAAUGACCAGCUAGAGGAGUCAAGGGCUCUGAACUCAAUUGGUCAUUAACUGCCAAGAAAUAUUUGACCUGUCAGUUAUUAGGUCUAUUCUAAACCAUCAAAAUAUAAACAUAUAAGGAGAAAAUUAAUGAUCUUGUGUGAUUAGACAUAAACAUACACUACUUAUCAUGGACACAGUAUUCUGUUCUAGUACUUGCAUUCCUCUAGAAAUUACUUACCAGUCUACUAACUGGUAAGAAAAGAGGCCUGUGUGUUCAACAUGCCUUUAAGUCUAUAGCUAUGAAUAAGUUAUUUUAUGUAAGAUCUUUGUAGGACAAAAUAGUUUUAUUGGCUGAAGAAAGGAGGGUAGGUCAUUAUGGUGCUACAUGUGAGCCUUUGGGUGAAAAUCUUACAAGUCCAAAAUUUGACACAUAGCUGCUACUUUUUAGUUUUUACCUGACCAAUAUCUCGUGGGCCAUCCAGUCCAAUUCCAAGUGGAAUAGGAAUUUGCGCAUUCUUUCAAACUUUUUUAAUCUACUACAAAUCAAAUCCAGUGACAGUGCAUCCUUCACAGGGAGGGAGGAGAGCAGCUGGAUUUGACAUCCUCCACCCUCAAAGAUUUCUACUGUUUGAUAAGUACAUACCACCACACAGAUGUCUCGAUUAUUUCAAGAUAUCAUUCCUUGUUGUAGUACCUCUCAAAUACUGGGCAGAGUGUUCAGCACCUUUUUUAUUCUGGUUCCUUCACUCUUCCCAUCACCUCCCUUCCUCCGAAAGCCUUAAGUAUAUUGUUACCGUACUACCACCUAAUGGAUAAUAUAGUAUCUUUUCCUUUUAUUAUUUUUGUCAGACAAUCCUGAAUUGACAAGUGUGAGAUCAUGAAUUCCCUAAACAAUUGUCUAGUUUAAAGAAAACAGUUUCUGUUGGCACACCCCCCAAGAAAAUCUUUUGGUUUAUUUUCCAUUCUCAUUUAGAAAUAUUUUGAUUUUGCAUUAAUAGAUAAUUUUCCACUCCAAAUUCAGCUACUUGAGUUCUCUGAACUGCUAUCUAGAAUUAUGUCAUGGAGUAGCUGCAUAUCUCUAAGAUGUAGACUGGAAAGAGCUUAUGUUCAUCUGAAAGUCUCUGGGAUGUUGGUCCGUUUUUCCUGUAUUAGAAAUGAACAUUUUUGGACUCCAUGGUCUCAUUAUUCAUUUCAGAAAAUCGACUAGAUAUGGUUGUCCCUGCAGUUGUCAGGUAGCUACUUUUUGGGUCCCAUGCUGUGGCUGCUUGAGCAUAAUCUAUACACGGCAACUGUUGAAGCUUUAGUCUAUAGUUGAAACACCUUUUUAAAUCAGACAUUUCAAAGUGUAGGAAUUUUUUUCCUCUUGACAAAAAAAAAUGCCUAAAAUUAAUAGGAAAAAAUUGUUUUGGUGGUAAUUCUCUUGCCCAGUUAGGUGGACUCUUUUCCAGAAGCAAAUAAGUUGGUUAAUUAAGCAACUGGCAAACAAUUUAUAAUGUUUGAAUACAGGCACUCCUCACUCUUUCUCAAGGCUAAGUAUUAUAACUUAUUUUGAAGUACAGUGGUCAUUUGCCUGUCUUGUUACUAGAUUUAACUUGUGAACUGCUUUGAAGAUGUUUGUUUUUUUUAGAACACACUUACAUUUAUUUUCUUUGAAAUAUAUGCCCAGUGAUGGUUUUUCAUGGCUUUAGUUAUGCCCACCCCAGCUUAUGGCAAGGGAACUGCUACAUAUGCACUCCCAAAUUGCUCUACUAGUGUCAUCAGACCAAAUUUGUAACAACCUUGAUAUUCAGGUUAGACUUAAACCCCUCGCCUCCUUUUAUCAAACUAGCAGUUGUCAUAAUGCUUUAAGUUCAGUAUCUUGACCUGUUUCUGGUAGGCCUCUUUAAAAAGAUUCUUACCUUUCAGAAACAGUGAACUACAAAUUAUCUAGUUUUCUAAUGAAGGUAAACUCUGGAAAUGAUCAAAAAGCUGAACAUGGCAAGCUUUAAUAUAAUAUAAUAUAACAUGACAUGUUCUGUCUAAAAACGUUUUGGGGAAAUAGUCUUCAUGUUUAAAUGAGAAAUUUAUGGCAAUUGAUUACUUGAGAAGGAAAAUUUUAAACAUAUCCUUUAUUGAAUAUU